rnacentral:rRNA from 1 species
GGAAUAUUGGUCAAUGGCCGGAAGGCUGAACCAGCCAAGUCGCGUGAGGGAAUAAGGCCCUACGGGUCGUAAACCUCUUUUGCCAGGGAGCAAUGCCGUCCACGUGUGGACGGAAGGAGAGUACCUGGAGAAAAAGCAUCGGCUAACUCCGUGCCAGCAGCCGCGGUAAUACGGAGGAUGCGAGCGUUAUCCGGAUUUAUUGGGUUUAAAGGGUGCGUAGGCGGACGCUUAAGUCAGCGGUAAAAUUGCGGGGCUCAACCUCGUCGAGCCGUUGAAACUGGGUGCCUUGAGUGGGCGAGAAGUACGCGGAAUGCGUGGUGUAGCGGUGAAAUGCAUAGAUAUCACGCAGAACUCCGAUUGCGAAGGCAGCGUACCGGCGCCCAACUGACGCUGAAGCACGAAGGCGUGGGUAUCGAAC